rnacentral:rRNA from 1 species
UACGAAGGGGGCUAGCGUUGCUCGGAAUCACUGGGCGUAAAGCGCACGUAGGCGGACUCUUAAGUCAGGGGUGAAAUCCUGGAGCUCAACUCCAGAACUGCCUUUGAUACUGGGAGUCUUGAGUUCGGGAGAGGUGAGUGGAACUGCGAGUGUAGAGGUGAAAUUCGUAGAUAUUCGCAAGAACACCAGUGGCGAAGGCGGCUCACUGGCCCGGUACUGACGCUGAGGUACGAAAGCGUGGGGAGCAAACAGG